UCUUGAUCAUAACUGGCAGAUCCUGGAAGGUGCUGUGCAAGAACAGCUUCAGUGAGAACAAAGGCUACUUAAACCAUUGGAGGAGGGCUGACUCACAAGCCAUCUGUGCAGAUACGUAGUCAUUCUCACAUUGAUCUCCAUGUGGCAGCCAAUGCUGGAUGACUGUACAGGACAACUGAGUUUUCAGAUGGAAGAGUCUAGAGCUCCAGAGAACAAAAAUACAAAUGCGCUAUCUGGACCAAUCUGCAGCUCCAAGACGAAAGCACCCCUGCCAAGUCCCAGACUGCCAACCUUCACGGUAUAGUCACUGCGAAUGUUCCCAGCCCCACCUCGCAACCCUGCCAAGUCAAGAGUAUAAAAAUGUUCAUAGUAUUAAUA